CUCACUUCCCCAGCCGGUCUUUCCUAAAGAGGAUAUAGCCCUCUGUGACAGCGUUCCAGUCAUGCGAGCUGUCCCACCACAUCUCAGUGAUCGCAACGAGAUCGUGGCCCCGUGACCGAACAUAGAUCUUGAGCUCAUCCUGUUUAUUUCCCAUGCUCUGCACAUUGGUGUACAGGCACUUUAGGGAAGCAGCAGGUGCACCAGUAGGCUGACAGAGAAGAAAGAUGU